rnacentral:tRNA from 1 species
GCUUUCGUGGUGUAGUGGUAACACACUCGGCGCGUAUUCGAGAGGUCCGUGGUUCGAGUCCCGCCGAGGGCA